rnacentral:lncRNA from 1 species
AAAGUCAGCCUUGAAGAGUCCUUUAUGUGUGAACAUGUCCAACCGAAUAGUCAUUGGUGUGAACGGCAUUAUGCUGAUUUGGGGGAUGAAUUUGGUCAGCUGAACAUGCACUUGAAGAGCCAUGUAUGUAUCAUCAAGUUCAUUGAAUCUAAGGUGAAUGCACCUUGCUUAAUGGUUCUUCCAAAUUUGGCUCACCUACAAAAUGGAUGAAUUCAGCUUAAUUAAUUCACAUUUAGCUGAACAUAAUUAAAAACAUAACCUGGACAAUUUAAAUGCACAUAAUUAAAGCUAGACACAAUUAAUUAAGUUAAGACAAGACAUAUUAAAAACAUGCAAUAACAAAAAAGAACAUAUUUAUAUGUUGUGAGAUUUAAGACAACUUAAUAACAUGCAAUAAAACAUAAUUAACAUGAAUACUUAAAUUUGUCCAGAUUUUAAACCAAUUAAACAACGAUGAUUAAUUGAGCUGUAUUUAACUAAUUUAACUAACUCAAUAAUUAUUCCAGCAGCUAAAUUAUUGUCUAAAUGAAAUUGAGCUGAAUCAAAAUUUAAUGAGCUGAAAUUGAGCUAAGUUCAGCUCGCAACAAAUUGCGCGGAGAGCUCAUAGAAUUGGCCCAAGCUUCUUCGAUGGGUCCAACUAAGGUCUCGCUCCAAACUUUAUCCACUAGAGCCAAAACAGCCUCUUUGAAGUGCUUGGCUCGCGAUCGGGUGAUAGGGCCUUGGGGCAGCUUCAAAGGUUCCUCGCUCGAGCUAGUAGUGACUUGGGGCGUGGCCGUAUCAAUAGUAGUAUAAACUUGCAACAAAAUUAACCCUAGAUUACUUUAAACAAUAGAUGCUUAUGAAAAAAAAUACUAAUAACUCACACCUUUACUAGGUAAUUUUAUCAACUUCUCUCCCUAUUUCUAACAUUAAAAAGCUUAUGAAUCAAGUGACAAUUUGAAAUAAGAACAUAUAUGCAUGAGCACAAGAUCAUUCGUUUUUCAAGUUCCAGAAAAAGAAAGUGUAGAAGAGAACAGGAGAAAAAAAUAAUACAACAAGAACUAUCUACCUGUGUUUCAGCAAUCAGCUUCCUUACAAGUUCUUUAGUGCACCUAAAGAUCAAAGCACAUGGCAUUCAACAGUCAAAAUUCAGAAGUCAUAUAGGAAUUUCACUUUUAGCAAACUUAGAAAAGAAUCAAUAGAAUUUAACGAAAUCAAAAGUUUAAAAAUUUAUCUGCUACACAUAACUAAAAUUAGCCAAUUCGAAAAGAGUAAUAAAUAAAAUUCACAACUUACACAGAACUAAUAACAAAAUUUUAACCUAAACACAAUGAUUUCAUUCUCAACUCACGACUCUAAAAUAUGAACAAUUCUUAAAUGAAUACAAUAAUAAAACAAUUGGCCUUGGGUACAACAUUUUAGUCUUCCCCAAACAUUUCAAGAACUGUCUAUAUAUGGUUUUCUAACACAACUAAACUCCAAAACUUAUGUACUAAAUAAAGACAGGAUGCUAUCACAUAACAUGAUUACAUAAUUAUGAUAAAAAGAAAAAGUCAACCCACAAGUUGACCACUGCUCUCCCUUUCAAAUAUUCAUUGCCCUCUGUCCUUCUUCUUCAUUUGAUAAUAUUGCAUUUUCUUAUUAUUAUUAGCUAUUACUCAUUCUCAUCCCAAAAUUUCUAUUUCAUCCUUUAUAAAUUUUUUAUAAGUUUUAAUUAAUUCUUUUAAAAAUUAAGAGAAUUUUCAUAAAAAAAUUGUGGGGUUAAAUAAAAGCGUUGUAACACUUAUAUAUAUUUUCAAAGGGGUUCUAAUUCUGUAUAGCUUCAUACAUACUUUUUUCCUUUCUCCACCCUUUUAGCAAUUACAAAGAAGUACAAGUCUAUCAAAAGAAUAAAAUAAAAAGUUAGAACUUACAUAUUAAUAACUCCAGACAACAUUUAAAUUAUCAUUCUGCACAACAAGAAUGUCAUAAUAAGGCUUCAAGAUACCUUUGACAUAUUUUUUUUUACUGAAAUUUAGUUUCUACUGAAGUUCAAAUCCCUUCUUUUAGCUUUAUUUCUAAAUUUUAUCCUAGAUUCAUCAGAUUAAGAAAUUAGAUUUAAGAUACAUAGACUCUAAAAUGAUAUAUAGUAAAACCAAUAUUUCCAAGUUCAUUGGAAUUGAUUUUGUUCAAACACAUAACAUGGUUAAAACAAACUAUAGGCAAAUCAGUAUCCAAUACCUUCAUGCCUACAUACAUACAUGCAUACAUAAAAGUAGUGAACGACUAAAAUUCCAUAUCCAUUAAUAACCUAUUUCCCUACAAUCAUUGAUCAUUUGGUUGGCCAAUAGAAAUUCAAAAACAUUGACAAUAGAUAGAUAUACUGAUAAAAAUACGAAUAAGCUUAUAAUAUACAUUGUACUUAUAAGAGAUCACGAAAUAAUACAUGAGAAAAAAAAAGGGAAGUUUCUUACCUGAGAAGCUUUGACCAAAACCUAAAUUGGGUUAUAGGAAAAGAAAGGAUUGGCACAAUGUGGAAAUAAGGAUUGGAAAAGAACGCGAUGCAGUAGACGCGCUUUGGGGAAAAGAAUUAGGGAUUUCGGAGAGGGGGAACGAAUUUGGGGAAAAGAAGUUGGGGAAAAAGGAAAGGGAAUUGGGAAAAAAAAGUUAGGGAUUUCAGGGAGGGGGAACUGAUUUGGUGAAAAUAAAUUGGGGAAAAAAAGAAAGGGAUUGGGAAAACAAUUAGGGAUUUU